UACGUAGGGCGCAAGCGUUGUCCGGAAUUAUUGGGCGUAAAGAGCUCGUAGGCGGCUUGUCACGUCGGAUGUGAAAGCCCGAGGCUUAACCUCGGGUCUGCAUUCGAUACAGGCUAGCUAGAGUGUGGUAGGGGAGAUCGGAAUUCCUGGUGUAGCGGUGAAAUGCGCAGAUAUCAGGAGGAACACCGGUGGCGAAGGCGGAUCUCUGGGCCAUUACUGACGCUGAGGAGCGAAAGCGUGGGGAGCGAACAGG
rnacentral:rRNA from 1 species